AGAGUUUGAUCCUGGCUCAGAACGAACGCUGGCGGCAGGCUUAACACAUGCAAGUCGAGCGCCCCGCAAGGGGAGCGGCAGACGGGUGAGUAACGCGUGGGAAUCUACCCAUCUCUACGGAACAACUCCGGGAAACUGGAGCUAAUACCGUAUACGUCCUUCGGGAGAAAGAUUUAUCGGAGAUGGAUGAGCCCGCGUUGGAUUAGCUAGUUGGUGGGGUAAUGGCCUACCAAGGCGACGAUCCAUAGCUGGUCUGAGAGGAUGAUCAGCCACACUGGGACUGAGACACGGCCCAGACUCCUACGGGAGGCAGCAGUGGGGAAUAUUGGACAAUGGGCGAAAGCCUGAUCCAGCCAUGCCGCGUGAGUGAUGAAGGCCCUAGGGUUGUAAAGCUCUUUCGCAGGUGAAGAUAAUGACGGUAACCUGAGAAGAAGCCCCGGCUAACUUCGUGCCAGCAGCCGCGGUAAUACGAAGGGGGCUAGCGUUGUUCGGAAUUACUGGGCGUAAAGCGCACGUAGGCGGAUUGUUAAGUUAGGGGUGAAAUCCCAGGGCUCAACCCUGGAACUGCCUUUAAUACUGGCAAUCUCGAGUCCGAGAGAGGUGAGUGGAAUUCCGAGUGUAGAGGUGAAAUUCGUAGAUAUUCGGAGGAACACCAGUGGCGAAGGCGGCUCACUGGCUCGGUACUGACGCUGAGGUGCGA
rnacentral:rRNA from 1 species